AAUAAGCAUUUUAGGUGAGAGAUGAUAAUAAUCAGAGUACCAAUAAUAGAGGCAAUCUGCUCACAGCAUCAUCCAUAAAAUAUGGAGGACUCUCACAACAACAACAAAAUCCCAAACAAUAAUCACAAGACAACAUGAAAUUAAACAACACUGAUUGAAAAUUAUGUGAAGAGUUUUGAGUGAAAGCACCCAAAGGGCAAUAAUUUGUUAUGUGAUUAUUCUAAGUCAUCCUGUAGCAAACAGAAAACAGUUUAAGUGUAUUUUUUACAUAUGCACUCCAGAUAAGCACUCCAACUUGGUCUAUUUAUUAUGGUGCAUGAGUAUCCUUCCUAGGAAUGAUGAAAAACAAUGACAAACACUUGUGAUCUAUUUGUCAAGACUGGGUCACAGCUUUCAGCCUAAGAAUUAGUAUUAGUAAUCAAGUCAGGAGGAAAGGAAAAAACCUUAUUGGGAGAGCCAAAGGGAAAAUUGUAAGUUCAGUUUCACUGUUUACACAUGGACUUUUGUUUUACUUAGUAAUACCUGCAGAGUUUGUUUAGCCAUCUAUGGUACUGUUAAAAAGUCCUGAAAGUUUAGUCUCAUGUCAUCUUUUUUAUUGAGGACAGACAUCAGUUACGUGGUCAUUGAAGCACCCUGAAGCAUGAUCUUUGAAGCACCCUGGCUGCCCAGUAAUCCCAUUCAUUGCCCUAGAUGUGCUGAGAAUGGGUUGAAGCAGAGGGUGGAUACCCACACAGAAGUGGAGAGGGGUUACAGCAGCACAGAGAAAUGUUUGGAGGACAAGAGCAAGUACAAGGCCAUAAGAUGAGAAUCCCCAGAAUGUGAAGGACUAUCUGCAUUAGAAGCACUUGUUUUAGCAUCCCAGGAGUCUACAUUUCAAACAAGAGCCCCAGGUCUCCAUCAAGUGAAUGUGGAGGGCCUACCAUGGACCGCAAAAAUGCUGCAUGGGUUCCCCCAUGACCAAGGGUGAUGCCGAGAUGUGGUAAGCAGAGGGAGGAACUGUGAGGCUAAGGGCUUGGUCUGGGGAAAUGGAACUGUUGAUAGAGGUUGUUUAAUGAAGGGCUGCUGCUGCUAAGUCGCUUCAGUCGUGUCCGACUCUUAGAGACCCCAUAGACUGCAGCCCACCAGGCUCCUCCAUCCAUGGGAUUCUUCAGGCAAGAGUACUGGAGUGGGGUGCCAUUGCCUUCAAGGUCAAAUGUGCGGGGAAUGCAAUAGGUUAAACAGUUAAAUGGAUCUCUUUACAGGCUAACGUGCACUGCAAAUCUACAAAAAGACCACAGUAGAGAGUGUUUCUCAAAUAUUUGACCCCAGAAAUGUUUUUCCAGAGAACCUAUAUCAGACAAAAACUACUCUAAGCCUAGGUAUCCCUCUGUACCUGUGCUUGGGAAGGAGGCUAUGGGCUAAGUGUGCAUUUAUAACAAGAUUCUAUGAGACUAGUGGGAAAAGACUUGUUACGACUGUGUUAGUGAGUCCUUGAAAUGGAUAUUAGGCUUCCUCAAACCUCUAAACCUCACUUGGGGCAAACAGUGAGCUGGAGUCGAUGCCUGCCCCCGUGGGAGAACUCCGGCUAGGCCUUUUCCAGAUACGCCUCACCGUGCGAGGCUUCAAAUCAGACCUGCCGUGGGAGUCAGUUUUUUGUGGAUUUUUAAAAUGCUAUUUGCAACUUACUAUAUUGAUUUUAUCAAUCUCUAAAGGGUUGCAAUUUGAAGAAUACCAAAUCCUAUGUAAAUUUAUGUACAUUAAAAGUCUUAAACCUCUCAUUUCCAUGCUAAUCACCUCAUGCUAUGAAGUGGGCCAGGAAGGCCUUUGGUAGGUUUUUUCUUCAGGGUUUGAAAGUGAAAAGUAUUGGUUGCAAUCGUCCAA